AUCACUUGAGGAAUCUUGUUAAAAUGCAGUUUCUGAUUCAGAGAGUCUCAGGUGAGCCUGAGAUUCUGCAUUUCUAACAAGCUCCCAGGUGACGGUGA
rnacentral:pre_miRNA from 1 species